AAUAAUAUAGUAUAUUAGUAUAUUUGAUUUCCAAUCAAAUGGUGAAAAAAAUUUAUCUUUUUA
rnacentral:tRNA from 1 species